rnacentral:rRNA from 1 species
CCUACGGGGGGCAGCAGUGGGGAAUAUUGCGCAAUGGGCGAAAGCCUGACGCAGCGACGCCGCGUGAGGGAUGAAGGUCUUCGGAUCGUAAACCUCUGUCAGCAGGGAAGAACGGUCACUGUGCUAAUCAGCAGUGAAUUGACGGUACCUGCAAAGGAAGCACCGGCUAACUCCGUGCCAGCAGCCGCGGUAAUACGGAGGGUGCGAGCGUUAAUCGGAAUUACUGGGCGUAAAGCGCUCGUAGGCGGUAUGUCAAGUCAAGGGUGAAAUCCCCGAGCUCAACGUGGGAACUGCCUUUGAAGCUGGCAAAAUGGAGUGUGUGAGAGGAUAGGGGAAUUGCAGGUGUAGGAGUGA